AACAAAUGGCAGCUCUGAAUCUCUUUAUUCAAAAUGUUAAAUGAGGAGCGGGUGAGCUGCAGGACCAGGCACAUGAUCAUUGACCAUUAUCACAUACUUUCCUCCUGGGGAAUUCUGCUCUGAAAAAUAAGAUAUUUUGUGGAACUCAAUAACCUACCUUCUACCUUUGACUCUAUAAAAAGGGGGUGGACUAGAAGCUAAACAAAUGUAUGAAGGCAUUUAUUAACUAUUUAAUAGUGUUGUAUUUAAUAUUUAUCAACGUUUUUGCAAGCACUGCCUUCUAGCUCUGUAAGAACCAUGAGGAGAGGGACAGUUUUCUGAUAAGCCUACACUUCACGUGAUAUUAGAUGGGAAAAUAUUUUAGCCUCCCUUUUUUUAAAUUUAUACCCAAAUAUUCCAUUGGCUUUUGGAUGAAAUUUAUGUAUUUAUCAACCAACAAGUAUUUAUUGAGCACCUUCUAUGUGUCAGGCACUGGGAAGACACAAAGCCUAUAGAAGGGAUCAAGGUAGUUGUGGACCUAGCUGUACAGAUAGAGCUUCUAGUAUUGAACUGCUCUUCCUCACCCAGCAAAUGUUCAUUGGACACCUACUAUGCGGCAGUUAUUUCUGAGGUGCUGGAGAGACCAGCAAGACAAAGAUCAAGCAUGGAACCUCUGUUUUAGUGGAGGAAGUUAAGUAACAUACAGGAAUAGUAUAAAAAUUUAGCGAAAUUAAUAUAUAAUAUGCAAUAAAUUAUAUACCAUGUUAGGAAUUAGUAUGUACUAUGACAAAAAAAUGAAGCAGGAUAAUGGGGAUGGAGAUAUUGAUGGGAGUUGCUAUUUUAUAUAUGGUGGUCAGGGUUUGCCUCUCUAAGCAGGUGACAUUUAAACAAAGACUUGAAGGAAGUUAAGGAGCACUGGAAUGUUUGAAGGAAGAAUGUCAUAGGUGGGAGAAUGGCCAGUGCAAAGGUCCUGAGGCAGGCUCAUGCCUGGUGUGUUCUAGAAAUAACAAGGAAUGGAGUGAGGCUGGAGCCAAGGAAGUUAGAAUGAGAUUCAGAGAGGAAAUGGGAGCCAGGCUGUGUGGUUUACAGCCAAUCUAAGGUCUUGUGAGAAUUGCUCUCUAUCAUGGACAACAGAGACAAAUGCCAUGGUUUAUUAUCAUGGAUUCCAAGGCACCUCCACAGAUUUUGACUCAUGGUAUAUAACGCAUAACAGAAAGAUGGGUCAAAAUUAAUUAGAUCACAGGAGGACAAAUUAUCCCCAGAAUCUACUUGAUUCAUAUACCUCAAUGAAAUAUCCCAACUUGAUGAAUGUUGAGACUACACUUUGAAACCUCACUCAUUCCUAAAGGCAGCCAGAGUGGUAUAUCAUCAAAUAUCACAGGCAGCUUACUGAGAGUUUUCUGUGCUUCAGCUGAUAAGAUUUUUCUGUAACUGUGUUGAGGGUAGCUUGUGUUUGGAAAUCCUUCUAUGUUUCUCUACUCUGAGGUUUGGCUCUUUAGGGUCAGAACUGAGGACAGAUCCACUUCCCAAGGGUAACCCCUGGCUAGUCUUGCAAGUACAUCUAUAGAACAGCUCAGAAAGCAGUAUAAUGUUUUGCUUCAGCUUCUCAUCUUUUUAGCAAAAUGUCAACCCUGAAAUCAUUCCUUUAGUAUUAGCAAUCAAAGCCCUCAUCAAGGAGUGUCUACUGCCCCACGCAGAGUGGAGAGAAAAUUGACAUUCUGAGAUUAUUCUGGUACAUACUAACCACUAUUACUAAACAUUUUAAGUUCUGUACACUAAUUAAUCAUUAUAAAAUGUCCUGGUAUUUAGCUCCUUGCUGAGUUGUGCUUUAAUGCCAUUUCUUGAACUUUUUCCAGUCUUUUCUUUCUUUGCUUUUUAAGAACCAAAUACUUCAAAUAAUGUUUUGAUUUUCAGUAAACUUGAUGAAAUUGCCUGUUUUGUUAUACAAAUAUUCUUGUGUUGAAUCCUUUGUGAAAAAUUUCUCAUAGCAUGUAUUAUAUUCUGUUUUCUUGAAGAAUCAGAAUAUGGUAGAAUAAGAACUCUUAAAUAUGAACUAAAAAAUAGAAGUAAAUACAUACAAAACUGAACUGACACUUGAAUAUACUAUAAGCAUGUAACACAUAACUGAAUAUACAUUUCAACUCUAUGAAACAAUGAAAGGUAGUCAUGUGGUUAACUCAGAUAAUUUAAAGAAUUUACAAGACCAAAAUGCUCACCUCUAUUAUAAAACAGCAUCUAGUUAUCUUAAUAUUAUCUGAAUAUUGUGGCAUAUUUUUAAGCAGUAUCUUCAGGUUUCUUCUAGGCAAUUUCACUUGGAAUUUAUCAAAAUUUCAAAAAAACAUAAUAAAAUAUAUCCAGUAUUAUUUUUCUCUUUUAUUCUAGCAAUGGUAAACUAUUAUUAAAGUCACAUCAUAAGAGGGAAUGCAAAAUUACAAUUAUAAAUGUCAGCUAACAAAAUUAAGGAAGCUUAAAGCAAUAAAGGUAUAAAGAGUUGAAAACAUGCCAGUUUAAAAGCUUAGUAACAUAUAAGCAUCUUCGGGAGACUUUGUUUGUCUCCCCAUAAACUGUCACAUUCUGAUUUAGGAUUGUUUGUGAAAUGAAUCUAGUCAGUAAUGGGCCAAGAUAUCACUAUACCCUUUCUCUUAUAAAUCACAGCAAUUUACUCAGUAGGAAUGAUCUAUCCUUAUUUUCAUUCCCCAUAAUCCAAUCACUUCCUCUCAUCCCCACUUUUCCCCUGGUUUUCACAAUAAUGCAUUUUCUGUAACUAACAACCAUCAUUUCCUGAUUAUCAUGCUUCUAUCCUUGCACAGGAAUGUGGGUCUUAUGUGGGUCAGGGUCAUCUUUCCCAUCCAUCUGUGUCCCCAUGCCAAGUGUGUUAGCUGAAAGGUGAGCCUGGAUAGACCAUCAUUUUGCCUAGUACAUAUAAAAGUUUGCAUGCCCCCAAACCUAUGGCACUUUGAUUAAGAACCAUCAGAUUCUGGUGUGUCUAAUACUAUACUUUCAGAACAAGCACACUCAAAGACUUAUUAACAAGUUUGCCUUCUGCAGGUCCCUGUAAAUUUAACUGAAUGAUGAGGAAUGUUGCAGAAAAUACUCUACGGCAUUUAGUGCAACAUGGUGUAGUGACUUUCCUGAAAUAAUAAACAUAAAUAAAUGAAUGAUUUGACACCAACUCACAAGAUGGAAAAUUUUGAGCUCUGUGCCACAUGUGAUUUAAACUGUACAUCUAUUUGAAUUUCAGUUGUUUAAAGUUUAUUUAAACAGUCCACCCCUUCAUGGUAUUUUAGUUUCUGGAUUGGGUACAGUGGACCACCAGAGUCUUAGCUGCUAUCAUCACUAAAUGAAGCACUCCAUUCUUUCUCAGCUUAUGCAAGUUUUAAAACCCUCCAGUAUGCAAGUCGGCUCUGAUUCAGCACACGAAGGAGAAUCAGCUCUAAGCGUUAGGUGUCUCUCGGGACUAGAGGAAAUACAAUUGGCUGGGUGGCUUAGUUGGACUCCCUGCAUCUUAAACAAUUCACAGUGUCAAGGGUCCUGAAGUUCAGCAAUUAUCUUGGCCAUAUUUAUGCAGGCUUUUAUAAGAGCAUCUCAGGACAUAGCUUGCUGGUUAUAAUACUGCACUAAUUGGCUACCACUUCCCCGGUGUUGAAUGUUCCCCUACAGCUGGUGAUGACUUCACUGCCUAAUCUUGGAUACUACUGUGGUGUAUGAAAUAUUCCCUACCAUUUUACAAGAUUUUAAUUUUGUCUUACAGUUAGAUUUCCCAAUAGCAAACUGGCAUCCCAAAGGGCAAAUAUUACAAGCCUAAGAAUCUAUCCAAUUAGACUAUUGGUAAGUAUUGAAAAUGAUUCAUGUGUGUCCACAGUAUUAGACUUCAUUGUACGGCCAUUUUCCUUGACACUUAAUGAGCAGCUUUCUGAGUCAUUUCAGGUUGGCUUAAGUUGAAAAAAACUACAGAAUGAAAAAACUCACUUCCCAUAUGCUAAGCAUUGACAGGAAGGCUCCACCUCUUCAUACUUUCAUACCACCACGAGGCUUCACCCAAGUCCUCUUCAAGAUCUACUAGGAGUCUCCACUCUGGGAAUGAAAGACGCUUGUGAAUGAACCACCCGUGUAUAAAGUUCUUAGAACAGAACCAGGCUGCAUCAUAAAUACUCCAUAAGCUCAGCUUAUGGAGUAACUAUCCAGCAAAAAGCACUUUCAAUUCAUUUCCUGGGCCCAACCAUAAAGUGACGUAAGCCACCAGGUACAGCAGUUCCGUGGCCCUUUCAGAACUGGGAGUUAUCCACAGUCAAAUCAGAGUUCUCCCCACUUUCUUAGCAAAUACUGAAGAAAAUGGAGCUAAAUUUUUGUUGAUCCAGGACCUCCUACUGAGGCAGACUUGAACUGAGGUCACUGACCAAAAG